GGGUUUUAAAGCGUGCGCAGGCGGUUCUGUAAGUCAGAUGUGAAAUCCCCGGGCUUAACCUGGGAACUGCGUUUGAAACUGCAGAGCUAGAGUGCGGCAGAGGGAGGUGGAAUUCCAUGUGUAGCAGUGAAAUGCGUAGAGAUAUGGAAGAACAUCGAUGGCGAAGGCAACCUCCUGGGCUAGCACUGACGCUCAUGCACGAAAGCGUGGGGAGCAAACAGGAUUAGAUACCCUGGUAGUCCACGCCCUAAACUAUGUCAACUAGUUGUCGGGUCUUAAUAGACUUGGUAACGUAGCUAACGCGUGAAGUUGACCGCCUGGGGGGACGUACGGUCGACGAAGUAAAU
rnacentral:rRNA from 1 species